AGUGAACGCUGGCGGCGUGCCUAAUACAUGCAAGUCGAACGGAGUGGCGCACGGGUGUGUAUUGUAUAGCUAAUCUGCCCUACACUAGAGGACAACAGUUGGAAACGGCUGCUAAUACUCCAUAGUGUAGGAUGAGGCUAUAUUGUAUCAGCUAGUUGGUGAGGUAAUGGCUCACCAAGGCGAUGACGCAUAACUGGUCUGAGAGGAUGAUCAGUUACCCGGGAACUGAGACACGGUCCGGACUCCUACGGGAGGCAGCAGUAGGGAAUAUUGCUCAAUGGGGGAAUCCCGGAAGCAGCAACGCCGCGUGGAGGAUGACACUUUUCGGAGCGUAAACUCCGUUUGUUAGGGAAGCGGUACCUAACGAAUAAGCACCGGCUAACUCCGUGCCAGCAGCCGCGGUAAUUC
rnacentral:rRNA from 1 species